rnacentral:rRNA from 1 species
UACGUAGGGGGCAAGCGUUGUCCGGAUUUAUUGGGCGUAAAGAGCGCGCAGGCGGUCGUUCAAGUCGCGUGUGAAAGCCCCCGGCUCAACUGGGGAGGGUCACGCGAUACUGAUCGACUCGAAGGCAGGAGAGGGUAGUGGAAUUCCCGGUGUAGUGGUGAAAUGCGUAGAUAUCGGAAGGAACACCAGUGGCGAAGGCGGCUACCUGGACAAAUACUGACGCUGAGGCGCGAGAGCGUGGGGAGCAAACAGG